GUCUUUUUGUUUAUAAUUUAAAGUUUAAUCUGCCCACUGAAAAUUUUAAAGGGCUGCAGUAUAUUGACUGUACAAAGGUAGCAUAAUAAUUAGUCUUUUAAUUGAAGACUUGUAUGAAUGAUUUGAUGAAAUAUAUACUGUUUCUUUAUUAAUGUUAGAAUUUAAUUUUUUAGUCAAAAAGCUAAAAUUUUUUUAAAAGACGAGAAGACCCUAUAGAGUUUAAUUUUUUUUAUUUUAUAGGUAUUUUAUAAAAUUUAUAAUUUAUAAAAUAUAAAAAAUUUUGUUGGGGUGAUGGAAAAAUUUAAUUAACUUUUUUUAAAGAUUUAACAUAGAUUUAUGAUUUUAUGAUCCAUAAUUUAUGAUUAUAAGAUUAAAUUACCUUAGGGAUAACAGCGUAAUUUUUUUUUUUAGUUCAAAUAAAAAUUAAAGUUUGCGACCUCGAUGUUGGAUUAAGAUAAAAUUUAAAUGUAAAAGUUUAAAAUUUUGAUCUGUUCGAUCAUUAAAAUCUU
rnacentral:rRNA from 1 species